rnacentral:lncRNA from 1 species
ACACUCCACAACAAAAUGGACUUGCCGAAAGAAAAAAUCGCCAUCUUUUAGAUGUUGUAAGGACCUUGCUCAUUGAGUCUUAUGUUCCUCCAAAGUUUUAGGUAGAAGCACUUGCUACAACAACUUUUCUUAUAAGGACCUUGCUCAUUGAGUCUUAUGUUCCUCCAAAGUUUUAGGUAGAAGCACUUGCUACAACAACUUUUCUUAUCAAUAGACUCCCUUCCCAAGUUCUAAAUUUUCAGUCUCCAUAUUUCAAACUUCAUCAUCGCAAUCCUACCUACUCAAAUCUACACACUUUUGGGUUUUUGUGUUUUAUGCAUCUUCCUUCACCAGACAGGAACAAGCUUUCUACUCAGUCCGUACGUUGUGCGUUCUUAGUAUAUAGUGUCACAUAAAAAGGGUAUUUAUGCUAUGAUCCAAACUCUAAUAAGGUUCUGUUUCACGAAAUGUGCUCUUUUGUGAAAAUCAAUGGUUCUUUCCUAUGUCUUCAUCAAAGAAUCCUUCUCUUUCUCUCUUACCUUCUUUUGAUGACACCUCUAGUGCUCCUAAUAAUCAGGUUGAAAGGAAUAAGCCUGGUAUGGUCUAUGAGCGAAGACUUCAAGUGCUGCCCCCUUCUGCUCCUGCCUUACCAUCUGCUCCCUUGCGCCGCUCCUCUAGAGUUUCUGGUCCUCCUGACUGUUAUGGAUUUGAGUCACUUAUGGUAUGUACCUACAAUUCUGCACUCUCGGCCACUAUAUCCUCUAUUGUUAUUCCUACCGGUUACUCACAAGCAGUUAAAGAAAAAUGUUGGCAGCAGGCCAUGAAGGAGAAACUAUGUGCUCUUGAAGCUAAUAAGACUUGGGAAUUGGUAGAUUGUCCAGCAGGUGUGACUCCACUUGGUUGUAAGUGGGUCUAUUCUAUUAAGGUUAAAUCUGAUGGUAGUUUGGACAGAUAUAAGGCCCGCUUAGUAGCUCUUGGAAAUAAUCAAGAAUAUGGUGUGAAUUAUGAUGAGACUUUGGCUCCGAUAGCUAAAAUGACCACUAUCCGCACUAUAUUGGCUAUUGCUGCUUCUCAAAAUUGGGGUUUACAUCAAAUGGAUGUGAAGAAUGCAUUUCUUCACAGAGAUCUCAAGGAAGAUGUUUAUAUGCGUCCUCUAGCUGGCUUACUUUCCGCUCCUACUUCUGCUGUGUGCAAGUUACGUCGAUCUUUGUACGGUCUUAAGCAAGCCCCCCGUGCUUGAUAUGAGAAAUUUGUCUCUACUCUACUCAAACUUGCUUUUCUCAAAAGCAAGUAUGAUGCAUCUUUAUUUCUUCGCAAAACUAAGUCUGGUAUUAUGGUUAUCUUAGUGUAUGUGGACGAUAUAAUUAUCACGAGUACAGAUUCAGUUCUGAUUUCCCAAUCAAAACAGCAUUUAAAGGACUCAUUUCACAUCAAGGAUCUCGGCUCUCUCACAUAUUUUCUUGGUCUAGAAAUUAUUGCUGAUUCACGUGGUACUUUUCUGUCACAACAUAAGUAUGCCAAAGACUUGGUGGCUGCUGCUGGUCUCCAGCACUCUACACCUCUUGAAACUCCCAUGAAAAUUAAUCUCAAGCUACGCAAAGAUGAGGGUGACCUGUUAUUAGACCCCACAACCUAUCGCACUCUUGUUGGCAACUUGGUAUAUCUGACAAUCACUAGGCCCGAUAUCUCUUAUGCAGUCCAGCAGGUUUGUCGGUACAUGGAUUCUCCUCGACAUCUCCAUAUGGCCGCAGUUCGAAGAAUCAUCAAAUAUGUUCAAGGUACAUCCUUGCGGGAACUUUUUUACCCUACAGGUACCUCACUUGAUCUUGUCGAGUAUAGUGAUGCUGAUUAUGCCGAAUGUAGUGAUACUCGACGUUCUACCACUGGCUGGUGUAUGUUUCUUGGCCCUUCUCUUAUUUCCUGGAAAAGCAAGAAACAAGACAUUGUCUCCA